rnacentral:rRNA from 1 species
GACGAACGCUGGCGGCGUGCUUAACACAUGCAAGUCGAACGGAAAGGCCCUGCUUUUGUGGGGUGCUCGAGUGGCGAACGGGUGAGUAACACGUGAGUAACCUGCCCUUGACUUUGGGAUAACUUCAGGAAACUGGGGCUAAUACCGGAUAGGAGCUCCGGCUGCAUGGUGGGGGUUGGAAAGUUUCGGCGGUUGGGGAUGGACUCGCGGCUUAUCAGCUUGUUGGUGGGGUAGUGGCUUACCAAGGCUUUGACGGGUAGCCGGCCUGAGAGGGUGACCGGCCACAUUGGGACUGAGAUACGGCCCAGACUCCUACGGGAGGCAGCAGUGGGGAAUAUUGCACAAUGGGCGGAAGCCUGAUGCAGCAACGCCGCGUGCGGGAUGACGGCCUUCGGGUUGUAACCCGCUUUCGCCUGUGACGAAGCGUGAGUGACGGUAAUGGGUAAAGAAGCACCGGCUAACUACGUG